rnacentral:rRNA from 1 species
ACGAACGCUGGCGGCGUGCUUAACACAUGCAAGUCGAACGGAAAGGCCCUGCUUUUGUGGGGUGCUCGAGUGGCGAACGGGUGAGUAACACGUGAGUAACCUGCCCUUGACUUUGGGAUAACUUCAGGAAACUGGGGCUAAUACCGGAGAGGAGCUCCUGCUGCAUGGUGGGGGUUGGAAAGUUUCGGCGGUUGGGGAUGGACUCGCGGCUUAUCAGCUUGUUGGUGGGGUAGUGGCUUACCAAGGCUUUGACGGGUAGCCGGCCUGAGAGGGUGACCGGCCACAUUGGGACUGAGAUACGGCCCAGACUCCUACGGGAGGCAGCAGUGGGGAAUAUUGCACAAUGGGCGGAAGCCUGAUGCAGCAACGCCGCGUGCGGGAUGACGGCCUUCGGGUUGUAAACCGCUUUCGCCUGUGACGAAGCGUGAGUGACGGUAAUGGGUAAAGAAGCACCGGCUAACUACGUG